rnacentral:ribozyme from 1 species
CCCGACCGUUGCUCCUACCUUGACGUGGUGGUCGGGCUUGCCUAUCGUGAUGAACCAAUCGACCUAUAGUGGAUGGAACAAUCGUUCCUCAAGGUCCUACCGUACCAGGCAGGUUGGUUGAAGAGCGGUAAGACUAAAAGCAGC